UGUGAAGUUACUUAAACAACCAGGAGGUUGGCUUAGAAGCAGCCAUCCUUUAAAGAAAGCGUAAUAGCUCACUGGUCUAGUGAUUUUGCGCGGAAAAUAUAACGGGGCUAAAGUAAGUACCGAAGCUGUAGACUUAGUUUACUAAGUGGUAGGAGAGCGUUCUAUUUGCGUCGAAGGUAUACCGGUAAGGAGUGCUGGAGCGAAUAGAAGUGAGCAUGCAGGCAUGAGUAGCGAUAAUUAAUGUGAGAAUCAUUAACGCCGUAAACCCAAGGUUUCCUACGCGAUGCUCGUCAUCGUAGGGUUAGUCGGGUCCUAAGUCGAGUCCGAAAGGGGUAGACGAUGGCAAAUUGGUUAAUAUUCCAAUACCAACAUUAGUGUGCGAUGGAAGGACGCUUAGGGCUAAGGGGGCUAGCGGAUGGAAGUGCUAGUCUAAGGUCGUAGGAGGUUAUACAGGCAAAUCCGUAUAACAAUACUCCGAGAACUGAAAGGCUUUUUGAAGUCUUCGGAUGGAUAGAAGAACCCCUGAUGCCGUCGAGCCAAGAAAAGUUUCUAAGUUUAGCUAAUGUUGCCCGUACCGUAAACCGACACAGGUGGGUGGGAUGAGUAUUCUAAGGCGCGUGGAAGAACUCUCUUUAAGGAACUCUGCAAAAUAGCACCGUA
rnacentral:rRNA from 1 species